rnacentral:rRNA from 1 species
UACGAAGGGGGCUAGCGUUGCUCGGAAUUACUGGGCGUAAAGCGCACGUAGGCGGAUCUUUAAGUCAGGGGGUGAAAUCCUGGAGCUCAACUCCAGAACUGCCUUUGAUACUGAGGACCUUGAGUUCGGGAGAGGUGAGUGGAACUGCGAGUGUAGAGGUGAAAUUCGUAGAUAUUCGCAAGAACACCGGUGGCGAAGGCGGCCGAACUGGACGAAUGCCGUGA